GUUGUGUUUCUAGUGCAGUUUGUACCUCUAUGUGCAUCCUACUGAUACAACGAAGGUACAAUAACAUGCUUCAGUUUACUUACCGCAGGUGCAAUCAUCGGCUUCCUCAUGCAGCACAAUCCUGGGAACCGACACCGUCCGUAUUCCUUGGAGCAAAGCAUGUCUUGGAAACUUGGAACCAUGGGAAACUACAUCAGUUAGAGGCUUAGAGCAUUAUCCAAGGCCUGCUACCACACCCAUUUGAUGUGAUGAAGACUUCCCCUCGAGGCACACAUAUCUCCAUGCAGUUGAUAGUCUUCUCCUUCAUGUUCUUCUGGAGGGGUUGACUGAAUCAGGAAUUCGUUUGCUGCAAUGCUGCUGGAGGGAGCGGUGCACACCGGGAGCGGUUGGCAGUUUGUUGAGGUGGUUUUGGUGGAGGGGAGAGGUGGAUGCGGCAUGUCCUGCUGUAGCAGUAGAAGCGAGAGGGAGAAGUGUGUGCAGGAGGGAGCUACCAUGGCCACCAGAUCUGACUAGCCGGACUUGCUUUUUUCCCUGUUAUUGAGCUGAUGGAUGUUAGUUGCUCUAGCGACGUGGUAUUUUGUUUCCUAGAAGAUCGAGGGUGAUGUCAAGCUACCGCAGUAGCUUGUCAUACUUGUCAUAGAAUAGAAAAUGCUAGCUAGCUGCUUUAUAUUGUAUAAUGUUAUGUGAAUCCUAGCUUAAGAUUGCUGUCAUGUUCAACCUGUAGCAGAUUCGGCAAUGAAAGCCAUUGGCAGCAUAAUUUUUGAAGGCCAGUGAAAACUUGAAUGAAACCUUUGUAAAAUUCAGUAUCAUGGCUUGUGUUCAUAUGUACAUAGUAUAAAUACGCUUUGUAUUGUU